rnacentral:rRNA from 1 species
AGUGAACGCUGGCGGCGUGCUUAACACAUGCAAGUCGAGCGAUUUUCUGCAGUGUACCGCAGAAGAUAGCGGCAGACGGGUGAGUAAUACUUGGGCAAUCUGCCCUCGAGAGGGAAACAACCUGCCGAAAGGUGGGCUAAUGUCCCGUAAGACCACAGGAUGGCAUCAUCUAGGGGUCAAAGCUCCGCAAGGGGCGCUUGAGGAGGAGCCUGAGGCCUAUCAGGUAGUUGGCGGGGUAACGGCCCACCAAGCCUUUGACGGGUAGCCGGCCUGAAGGGUGAUCGGCCACACUGGCACUGAGACACGGGCCAGACUCCUACGGGAGGCAG